rnacentral:lncRNA from 1 species
AAAAUGGCAGAAUGGAAGAAUUGUGAGGGGAACUGGAAAGUAGGAAAGACAUGUACCAGCACCCAAAAUGAGAAAGAAAGACAUAUAAGCAAAAAGACUAAUACUCAUGAAAAAAAAAGACUAAUGGAUUAACAUCUCCAUUGUGUGACUUUUUCUU